UGAGGGAAAGUUGAAAAGUACUCUGAAGAGAGAGUUCAAUAGGACGUGAACCCGUCUGCAGGGAAACGGCUGAGACCGCACGUUAGACCCGCCACGGAUUCAGCUCGGGGGUAAUUCUCCGGGUGCACUUCCGCGACGGUGGGUCGCGUGGGGAUCGUUCUCGCUGCGCCUGAAGUUGCGAGGAGCGAUAGCGGGAUGCUUCGGCGUCUCCGUGGUGUACCCUUGCUUUCGUUGGCCGUGGCGGGGACUGAGGCUGGAACCCGCCCGUCUCCCUUGGAGACGACGAGUUUUUGGGUCGCNGCGUCGGUCCGACUGNAUGGGNNNUUGUCCUCGAUGGGNCCUCUCCGACUGCCGGUGUGCGCUUUCCCUCGACCUUGGUUUGCGGCGGUGUGAUCCCCCACGCUCUUGUCGGCACCUCAGCCGACCC
rnacentral:rRNA from 1 species